rnacentral:rRNA from 1 species
CCUACGGGAGGCUGCAGUGAGGAAUAUUGGUCAAUGGCCGGAAGGCUGAACCAGCCAAGCCGCGUGAAGGACGAAGGUGCCAAGCAUUGUAAACUUCUUUUGUCAAGGGACAAAAUCAGGCUCGAGAGCCUGACCGAGGGUACUUGAAGAAAAAGCAUCGGCUAACUCCGUGCCAGCAGCCGCGGUAAUACGGAGGAUGCGAGCGUUAUCCGGAUUUACUGGGUGUAAAGGGAGCGCAGGCGGCCUGCCAAGUCUGGUGUGAAAACCCGGGGCCCAACCCCGGGCCUGCAUUGGAAACUGGCGGGCUGGAGUGUCGGAGGGGCAGGCGGAAUUCCUAGUGUAGCGGUGAAAUGCGUAGAUAUUAGGAGGAACACCGGUGGCGAAGGCGGCCUGCUGGACGAUGACUGACGCUGAGGCUCGAAAGCGUGGGGAGCAAACAGGAUUAGAUACCCCUGUAGUC